rnacentral:lncRNA from 1 species
GAUGAACCAGCUUAUCAUGAUCCUCCCACUGACUUCACCAAGUCAGCUUAAGGGAGACCAUUAAAAGGGCUGGUCUAGGAGCACCUAAAUCAGUCACACUGAUUUACCUAGCUGACAUGGGUCAGCUCGAAUAGUCAAGUGAUCCGAUCAAAACAUAAUUUCACCAAGAGGCUAGGUAAGUUUGAUCAAUGGGAGGGUCUGCCAAAGCUUGCCUUAGACACCAUCAGAAAUGGCCAGGUAAGCGGGCUCCCAAUUAAAAACCACCGAUCUAGUUUACCUUAGACACCAAUUGGUUUAAUUAGUUUCGAUUAGAUCAACCUAACAGUUCGUGCUAGACCGCUUAGCCAAGAAUCAAGUCCAUUUGGUUCUCGUUAAAGACAUGGACUUGACCAACUACAACUAUUGUAAUUGAUCUAGAGAAUCUUUGACCUAAUCUAAGACAAUAAUUGAUUAAAUUUAGUCAAUUAUCU